rnacentral:rRNA from 1 species
AUACGUAGGUGACAAGCGUUAUCCGGAUUUACUGGGCGUAAAGGGCGUGUAGGCGGUCUUGCAAGUCAGAAGUGAAAUUCCUGAGCUCAACUCGGGCGCUGCUUCUGAAACUGCAGGACUUGAGUGCUGGAGGGGAUAGCGGAAUUCCUAGUGGAGCGGUAAAAUGCGCAGAUAUUAGGAAGAACACCGGUGGCGAAGGCGGCUAUCUGGACAGUAACUGACGCUGAGGCGCGAAAGCGUGGGGAGCAAACAGGAUUGGAUACCCCGGUAGUCCACGCUGUAAACGAUGAAUACUAGGUGUAGGAGGUAUCGACCCCUUCUGUGCCGCAGUUAACACAAUAAGUAUUCCGCCUGGGGAGUACGAUCGCAAGAUUGAAACUCAAAGGAAUUGACGGGG